rnacentral:lncRNA from 1 species
AAUUGAAAAAAAAAUCAGAAACCCUUUGUCAUCAGAGAUAUUUUCUCUCUCAUCUCAACAUUUUCUCUGUCAUCAUUCCAACAUUUUUUCUCUUAUCUCAACCCAAUUGAAGAUGGUGGUAGCAAUUUGAAUCAGAGAUAUUUUUUAAAAAUUGAAAAAGUUUACUCUUUUAUAAUCAUUUUAUAUUUAUUAAUGUGUGUAAAAUGAAUAUAAACUUUGUCAU